rnacentral:lncRNA from 1 species
GCGACGCACAAUUGGCCCAGAGUUGUCUGAGUUAGGGGAGGGUUUGGCUGGCCGGGAUGUCCUUGUCCCAUCGUGCUGUAGGUACUCCUGUGGUGGGCCAGGCGCAUGCACGCUGACACGGUCACCAGGUGUAUGGCUUUUCCUCCAACACAAAAUGUUUUUUUUUUUUUGUGGAUGGGUAUUAAUUUCAAUGUAUAAAAUGUAUAAUAGUAAUAUUUAAAAUGAGUAAAUCUGUUAAUUUUGUAUACAUUUAUUUAAAUUUGCAUCGGGACUCUUCUGGGGGGAUUCUGGUAAGAUGCCUGCAAAGCCUGAAUUCUGGGCAGUCAUUCAUUUUGAUUCCGGGCCGAGUCCGACACUCGAUUCUGGGCUGAUUCAAUCAGUUCCGGCACCCAGGAAGAGGGCCGCUUCUGGGCCGAUUCCUCAUUGCUAGCUAGCUGGGAAGGCUCGACAGGUGCUCAAGAUACGUGCUUUCAAGACCAUAAAUCACUAUCAUCUCUUUGCUACGAAUUUAUAUUUUAUAAGUCCAAUAAUAUUCUGAUACUCUGUGAUAAUAUUUAAUCUCCAUCAAGUGCAUACCUUGGCAUCCAGGCCUUAUUAGGCCUACUUGUAACCUAGCCUAUUAAUAGGAAGAUGACUGACAGCUAAAUGAUGACUGAUAGGUAAGAUGAUUCAUUCGAUGAUUCUUUCAAUCUCUCUCCUUUCUCUUAGGGCUGUUUUGCUGUGUGUGUAUUUCAGAAUUGAUCAAAUACUGUCACACCAUUGGAGAAUCUGCCGCGCCUUUGCCUCCACGAACCAUCUCAGCAAUUCUCAGCCACAGUCCACACACAGUGCACUUUCCCUAGACAGCCUGGAGGGGGUGGUAUUGCGACACUCAGACUCCAGAGUGGAGCUCCAGCCUACCAGCGACACCACCCUGAACCCUAGGAGCUACCACAGCAGCCGGCUCUCCCUGGAGGACAAAGCACUUCCCGCUGGCGGGGAGGGGAAUUUCCGUGAUGGGAAAAAGAGCAUAGGGACAGAUUAUGAGGAGAACUGGCAGGACGUGAGGGACAGCACCAGUGAGUCCACACACCUUGAGGAUGACGAGGAUUAG